rnacentral:rRNA from 1 species
ACGGGUGAGUAAUGUCUGGGAAACUGCCUGAUGGAGGGGGAUAACUACUGGAAACGGUAGCUAAUACCGCAUAACGUCGCAAGACCAAAGAGGGGGACCUUCGGGCCUCUUGCCAUCAGAUGUGCCCAGAUGGGAUUAGCUAGUAGGUGGGGUAAUGGCUCACCUAGGCGACGAUCCCUAGCUGGUCUGAGAGGAUGACCAGCCACACUGGAACUGAGACACGGUCCAGACUCCUACGGGAGGCAGCAGUGGGGAAUAUUGCACAAUGGGCGCAAGCCUGAUGCAGCCAUGCCGCGUGUAUGAAGAAGGCCUUCGGGUUGUAAAGUACUUUCAGCGGGGAGGAAGGUGUUGUGGUUAAUAACCACAGCAAUUGACGUUACCCGCAGAAGAAGCACCGGCUAACUCCGUGCCAGCAGCCGCGGUAAUACGGAGGGUGCAAGCGUUAAUCGGAAUUACUGGGCGUAAAGCGCACGCAGGCGGUCUGUCAAGUCGGAUGUGAAAUCCCCGGGCUCAACCUGGGAACUGCAUUCGAAACUGGCAGGCUAGAGUCUUGUAGAGGGGGGUAGAAUUCCAGGUGUAGC